AAAGAAAAAAAAAAAAAAGAAGACACAAGUCAAGGAGAUACAAACCAAAUUGUCUCAUACAAGUUGGGCUGCAAUAAAUGACAGCCAUUCUCAUCUCUCUCCAGUCCCUUCUCCCUCUCUCCCCCCUCCUUCUCCCCACCUUCCUCGUGGGAGAAAUGAAGGACGAGAAACUGCGAAAAAAAAAACAAAAAGAAGGGUA
rnacentral:ribozyme from 13 species